CUAACCAUGCAAGUCGAGCGGAACAGUAGCUUGCUACCCGCUGACGAGCGGCGGCGGGUGAGUAAUGCAUAGGAAUCUGCCCGAUAGGGGGGAUAACCUGGGGAAACCCAGGCUAAUACCGCAUACGUCCUACGGGAGAAAGGGGGCUCCGGCUCCCGCUAUCGGAUGAGCCUAUGUCGGAUUAGCUAGUUGGUGAGGUAAAGGCUCACCAAGGCGACGAUCCGUAGCUGGUCUGAGAGGAUGAUCAGCCACAUCGGGACUGAGACACGGCCCGAACUCCUACGGGAGGCAGCAGUGGGGAAUAUUGGACAAUGGGGGGAACCCUGAUCCAGCCAUGCCGCGUGUGUGAAGAAGGCCCUCGGGUUGUAAAGCACUUUCAGUGAGGAAGAACGCCUGGUGGUUAAUACCCAUCAGGAAAGACAUCACUCACAGAAGAAGCACCGGCUAACUCCGUGCCAGCAGCCGCGGUAAUACGGAGGGUGCGAGCGUUAAUCGGAAUUACUGGGCGUAAAGCGCGCGUAGGUGGCUUGAUAAGCCGGUUGUGAAAGCCCCGGGCUCAACCUGGGAACGGCAUCCGGAACUGUCAAGCUAGAGUGCAGGAGAGGAAGGUAGAAUUCCCGGUGUAGCGGUGAAAUGCGUAGAGAUCGGGAGGAAUACCAGUGGCGAAGGCGGCCUUCUGGACUGACACUGACACUGAGGUGCGAAAGCGUGGGUAGCAAACAGGAUUAGAUACCCUGGUAGUCCCGCCGUAAACGAUGUCGACCAGCCGUUGGGGCCUAGCGCACUUUGUGGCGAAGUUAACGCAUAAGUCGACCGCCUGGGGAGUACGGCCGCAAGGUAAAACUACAAAUGAAUUGACGG
rnacentral:rRNA from 1 species